UACGAAGGGGGCUAGCGUUGCUCGGAAUCACUGGGCGUAAAGGGUGCGUAGGCGGGUCUUUAAGUCAGAGGUGAAAUCCUGGAGCUCAACUCCAGAACUGCCUUUGAUACUGAGGAUCUUGAGUUCGGGAGAGGUGAGUGGAACUGCGAGUGUAGAGGUGAAAUUCGUAGAUAUUCGGAAGAACACCAGUGGCGAAGGCGACUUACUGGACACAUAUUGACGCUGAGGCGCGAAAGCCAGGGGAGCAAACGGG
rnacentral:rRNA from 1 species